AGAGUUUGAUCCUUCCUCAGAUUGAACGCAGGCGGAACGCUUUACACAUGCAAGUCGAACGGGCUUAAGGGGCUUGCUCCUUAAGUUAGUGGCGAACGGGUGAGUAAUAUAUCGGAACGUAUCCAAUAAUGGGGGAUAACUAAGCGAAAGCUUGGCUAAUACCGCAUACGCCCUACGGGGGAAAGCUAGGGACCUUCGGGCCUGGCGUUAAUGGAGCGGCCGAUAUCUGAUUAGCUAGUUGGUGAGGUAAAGGCUCACCAAGGCUUCGAUCAGUAGCUGGUCUGAGAGGACGACCAGCCACACUGGAACUGAGACACGGUCCAGACUCCUACGGGAGGCAGCAGUGGGGAAUUUUGGACAAUGGGCGCAAGCCUGAUCCAGCCAUUCCGCGUGAGUGAAGAAGGCCUUCGGGUUGUAAAGCUCUUUCGCAAGGGAAGAACACUUAGUCUCUAACAUAGACUGAGGUUGACGGUACCUUGAUAAGAAGCACCGGCUAACUACGUGCCAGCAGCCGCGGUAAUACGUAGGGUGCGAGCGUUAAUCGGAAUUACUGGGCGUAAAGCGUGCGCAGGCUGUUUUGUAAGUCAGAUGUGAAAUCCCCGAGCUCAACUUGGGAACUGCGUUUGAAACUACAAGACUAGAAUAUGUCAGAGGGGGGUAGAAUUCCACGUGUAGCAGUGAAAUGCGUAGAGAUGUGGAGGAAUACCAAUGGCGAAGGCAGCCCCCUGGGAUAAUAUUGACGCUCAUGCACGAAAGCGUGGGGAGCAAACAGGAUUAGAUACCCUGGUAGUCCACGCCCCUAACGAUGUCUACUAGUUGUUGGUGGAGUAAAUCCAUG
rnacentral:rRNA from 1 species